rnacentral:lncRNA from 1 species
AUCCUUAUAUACUUUAAUUUAACUAUUUGAUUGACUUCAAAAUUUGCAUAUAUAUUAACAAUCAAUACACCAAUAUGUUGCUCAAAUAUCAUUCAUAAAUAUACUAUAAAAUUCAAGAAAUCCUCGAAUUUAUCAAUAUAUUUUUAUUUAUCAAAUCCUUAUUUUACCAAGAAUAUCAUUAACUUUGAAAAUCUCUGAAAAUGUCAAUAUUGAUUAAAUGACAUGAAAUAAAUUCUUAAAAAUCUCUCCUCUAGUCUACUCUCAAAU